UACGUAGGAUGCAGGCGUUAAUCGGAAUUACUGGGCGUAAAGCGUGCGCAGGCGGUCUUUUAAGUCAGAUGUGAAAUCCCCGGGCUUAACCUGGGAACUGCGUUUGAAACUGGAAGGCUUGAGUGUGGCAGAGGGGGGUGGAAUUCCACGUGUAGCAGUGAAAUGCGUAGAGAUGUGGAGGAACACCCGUGGCGAAGGCGGCUCUCUGGGACGGUACUGACGCUGAGACGCGAAAGCGUGGGGAGCGAACAGG
rnacentral:rRNA from 1 species